rnacentral:lncRNA from 1 species
UAGCUGGUUUACCUGCAUCAUGUCUGGGUUCAUCAGCGUCCAGUUUUAAUUAACUUGUGGUCUUUUGCCAUGUGCGGUAAUGAAAAACGAAAGGGCCUAAAGUAGAGUAGAUUAACAUUUCGGUGUCGCCUCAAUUUGCAGAAAGAAGCUUCAGGCAGAGAGUCUCUCACUGCUCCUCGUGUCUACUGAUUGUCAUGUUGCUCGCCAGCUCCUAUGCUCUCCUCCAAAGUCCAAACCCGGGCCCAAAGGUGUUCAACAAAGAGAAGUAACAUUUACGAGCUCACACAAGUCACAUGAGAUGAGAUUCAAGAGAAAGAGAUAUAUGUUACGUGG